rnacentral:lncRNA from 1 species
UCCUCCUUGGCACCACACUCUGUUUCCUUGCAUCAACUCCAAGCCCUUGUACACAGUGAUGAUAUUGCGGGUAUUUUCACUAUCACAAAGUCCCUCCCGGAGUCACAUAAAGAACCUGACUCCACCCAUUCCUUUCCCAAACACCUCACCUCACCAUUUCGCGACCUUUUACAGAGUUACAAUCACAUCUUCACCACCCCUAUGGGCCUCCCUCCCUGUCGUUCCGUCGAUCACCGCAUUCAUUUGAUUGAAGGAACAAAACCUGUAAAUGUGCGACCAUACCGUUACCCACAAUUUCAGAAAACAGAAAUGGAGAAAUUAAUCCGCGAAAUGCUUGAUCAAGGGAUCAUCAUUCCCAGCCAUAGUCCUUUCUCCUCGCCUGUAUUGUUGGUCCGAAAGAAAGACGGCUCUUGGAGGUUUUGUGUCGAUUAUCGUGCUUUGAAUGCAGCGACGGUUAAGGAUAAAUUUCCUAUCCCCACCAUCGAUGAACUUUUGGACGAGCUUGGUGGGGCAACUGUGUUUAGCAAACUGGACCUUCGCGCAGGGUAUCAUCAGAUUCGAGUGCAUUCUCGCGACACGUACAAAACGGCAUUUCGCACACAUGAGGGCCACUUUGAGUUUUUGGUCAUGCCUUUCGGCCUUACUAACGCGCCUUCAACUUUUCAGGCGACCAUGAAUCAACUGUUUUCUCCGUUCCUCCGGAGGUUUGUGAUUGUUUUUUUUGACGACAUUUUAGUNUUCCGUGGCUUCAAUCAUUGGGAAAGGUCUCCCAUGAUUAUUCUGCUCUCACCAUGGAGUUUUGUUGGAAAGGUACUCCGGUCACCUUGGUGGGAGACUCCUCCUUGGCACCACACUCUGUUUCCUUGCAUCAACUCCAAGCCCUUGUACACAGUGAUGAUAUUGCGGGUAUUUUCACUAUCACAAAGUCCCUCCCGGAGUCACAUAAAGAACCUGACUCCACCCAUUCCUUUCCCAAACACCUCACCUCACCAUUUCGCGACCUUUUACAGAGUUACAAUCACAUCUUCACCACCCCU